UUGUAUUGUCUUGAGCAUAUUGUUGGUUUCCUGUGUUGCAUACCUAACUAAUGGUAUCGUUUUGAUUGAUCGAAGUCCCUUUUCAUCUUGUGUUGCCUUUGCGACGCAUGAUGAACCCCGAAGCGGUCUCGAUGUUCCACCAUGUUGAUACUAGUGUUUUGAUGUUGUGGCCCAUUUAGCGUUGCUUGGUUUCGUGGAUACAGAACAUGAUUUGGGCAUAGGGUCACACGUGACUCUUGCUUUGUCCUUUACCAGUGUUCUUUAUAACGACGGUUCAUGCGCGCCUAGGCUCGUACCUGCGCGAUGUUCUUUGUCGAAGAGGAAUGC
rnacentral:misc_RNA from 2 species